CUACGUGCCAGCAGCCGCGGUAAUACGUAGGGCGCGAGCGUUGUCCGGAAUUAUUGGGCGUAAAGAGCUUGUAGGCGGUUUGCCGCGUCUGCUGUGAAAGGCCGGAGCUUAACUCCGUGUAUUGCAGUGGGUACGGGCAGACUAGAGUGCAGUAGGGGAGACUGGAAUUCCUGGUGUAGCGGUGGAAUGCGCAGAUAUCAGGAGGAACACCGAUGGCGAAGGCAGGUCUCUGGGCUGUAACUGACGCUGAGAAGCGAAAGCAUGGGGAGCGAACAGGAUUAGAUACCCUGGUAGUCCAUGCCGUAAACGUUGGGCACUAGGUGUGGGGGACAUUCCACGUUUUCCGCGCCGUAGCUAACGCAUUAAGUGCCCCGCCUGGGGAGUACGGCCGCAAGGCUAAAACUCAAAGAAAUUGACGGGGGCCCGCACAAGCGGCGGAGCAUGCGGAUUAAUUCGAUGCAACGCGAAGAACCUUACCAAGGCUUGACAU
rnacentral:rRNA from 1 species